CUUGUCCCUUUUUAAAUAACCAUGUUACUUUGAUUAUUUUCAGACUCGUUUGACAAAGACUGUGUAUCAAUGUCAUCCGUCUUUAUGGACUGAUCAGAAUGCGAAGCACCUGAUUCCUUACGGGAUUCAUUAUCAAGCAUCAGAAACAUCAGAUUCAUCAUUACUGCUUAAGCUAGAAUCAUCAGGAGGUAUUACAUAGUUAACCUUUCGUCUUGGAUAACCUUUGACAGUUUUGCGUUCGGGCCAUUCAGCAAUGUCAGCAAGCCUUAUCUGAUCUGCAUGUACUUGAACAACAGAGUUGUCAAGCUGGUUCUUAACAAUGACCUCCCUAAAGGCAAAACAUGUAAAUUCUGACCCUCGGUCAUGAAUUAUCUGGAGAGGACAUCCAUAUCUAGGAU
rnacentral:lncRNA from 1 species